AGCUUAAGCCGUUAGGUGUAGGCGUAGCGAAAGCGAGUCUUAAUAGGGCGUUGAGUUAGAUGGAUCAGACCCGAAACCGAGUGAUCUAGGCAUGACCAGGAUGAAGGUUGGGUAACACCAACUGGAGGUCCGAACCCACACCUGUUGAAAAAGGUCGGGAUGAGUUGUGCCUAGGGGUGAAAGGCCAAUCAAACUGGGAAAUAGCUCGUACUCCCCGAAAUGCUUUUAGGAGCAGCGUGGAGGUUAAGUCUGUUAGAGGUAGAGCUACCGAUAGGACUAGGGGGAGUCAAAUCCUACCAAAUCCUGACGAACUCCGAAUGCUAACAGAUAUACUCCGCAGUGAGGGCAAGGGUGCUAAGGUCCUUGUCCGAGAGGGAAAGAACCCAGACCUUCAG
rnacentral:rRNA from 9 species